rnacentral:rRNA from 1 species
CCUACGGGUGGCAGCAGUGAGGAAUAUUGGUCAAUGGGCGUAAGCCUGACCCAGCCACGCCGCGUGAGGGAUGAAGGUUCUAUGGAUCGUAACCCUCUUUUAUACGGUACUAAAGUGCGUGUCGUGUCCCGUUUUGUAUGUACCUUAUGAGUAAGGAUCGGCUAACUCCGUUCCAACAGCCGCGGUAAUACGGAGGAUCCGAGCGUUAUCCGGAUUUAUGUGGUUUAAUGGGUGCGUAGUCGGCCUUUUAAGUCAGCGGGAAAAGUAGGUGGCUCAACCAUAGAAUUGACGUUGAAUCUGGGAGGCUUGAGUAUGUUUGAGGCAGGCGGAAUGCGUGGUGUAGCGGUGAAAUGCGUAGAUAUCACGCAGAACACCGAUGGCGAAGGCAGCCUGCCAGGCCAUGACUGACGCUGAGGCACGAAAGCGUGGGGAGCAAACAGGAUUAGAUACCCUUGUAGUC